UACGUAGGGACCAAGCGUUGUUCGGAUUUACUGGGCGUAAAGGGCGCGUAGGCGGCGCGGUAAGUCACUUGUGAAAUCUCUGAGCUUAACUCAGAACGGCCAAGUGAUACUGCAGUGCUAGAGUGUGGAAGGGGCAAUCGGAAUUCUUGGUGUAGCGGUGAAAUGCGUAGAUAUCAGGAGGAACACCGGUGGCGAAGGCGGCUCUCUGGUCCAUUUCUGACGCUGAGGUGCGAAAGCUAGGGGAGCAAACGGG
rnacentral:rRNA from 1 species